rnacentral:misc_RNA from 1 species
AAGUCGUAACAAGGUUUCCGUAGGUGAACCUGCGGAAGGAUCAUUACCGAUUUUAGCGAACCUGGUCGCUUUUGACUAAGGUUUCGCGAGACUUGUAUUUAGAACCCACACUUUUAUAAAAUUUUAUUGUAUCAAUUAUGAUAAGAAAGAUCACUUUCAACAACGGAUCUCUUGGCUCUC